CAGGCAUAGGCAAACUUGGCCCUCCAGAUGUUUUGGGACUACAACUUACAGGACCAGUGGUCAGGGAUGAUGGGAGCUGUAGUCCCAAAACAUCUGGAGGGCUGAGUUUGCCUAUGCCUG